GACGAACGCUGGCGGCGUGCUUAACACAUGCAAGUCGAACGGUGAAGCGCCUUCCUUUUUGGUGGGUGUGGAUGAGUGGCGAACGGGUGAGUAACACGUGAGUAACCUGCCCCCUUCUUCUGGAUAACCGCAUGAAAGUGUGACUAAUACGGGAUAUUCUGGGUCUGUCGCAUGAUGGGUCUGGGAAAGAUAUUGUUUCGGUGGGGGAUGGGCUCGCGGCCUAUCAGCUUGUUGGUGGGGUGAUGGCCUACCAAGGCGGUGACGGGUAGCCGGCCUGAGAGGGUGGACGGUACCACAGGGACUGAGACACGGACCAGACUCCUACGGGAGGCAGCAGGGGGGAAUAGUGCACGAUGGGCGCAAGGCUGAAGCAGCGACGCCGCGGGAGGGAUGGAGGCCGUCGGGUUGUGAACCUCUUUCGCCAGUGAAGCAGGCCUGCCUCGUUUGUGGGUGGGUUGACGGUAGCUGGAUAAGAAGCGCCGGCUAACUACGUG
rnacentral:rRNA from 1 species